rnacentral:ribozyme from 1 species
CUCUAACGAUUGACUCGUACCUUUUCGUGGUGUUGGAGACUAGUACCAAAGAAAAAAUCAUAAUCAACUUCUUCGAGAAACCAAAUUGAGUC